GACGAACGCUGGCGGCGUGCCUAACACAUGCAAGUCAGGGAGAAAGAGGUAGCAAUAUCUCGAGUAAACCGGCGAACGGGUGAGUAUAACGUAGGCAACCUUCCUCGUGAACGGGGAUAACUCCGGGAAACCGGAGCUAAUACCCGAUGACAUUUCGGAGGAGCAUUUCUCCGGAAUCAAAGGUCCCAAAAGGACGUCACGAGAUGGGCCUGCGCCCCAUUAGAUAGUUGGCGGGUAAAAGCCCACCAAGUCAACGAUGGGUAGCUGGUCUGAGAGGACGACCAGCCACACUGGAACUGAGACACGGUCCAGACUUCUACGGAAGGCAGCAGUGAGGAAUAUUGCUCAAUGGGCGAAAGCCUGAAGCAGCGACGCCGCGUGAAGGAUGAAAUCCGUUAGGAUGUAAACUUCUUUUAUAGGGGAAGAACGACCCGGUUACCGGGUGUGACUGUACCCUGUGAAUAAGCACCGGCCAACUACGUG
rnacentral:rRNA from 1 species